CCACCUUGAAAACACCCACAUGGAUUUAUGUGCAUAAAUGAGGGCAUCCAUCCGGCUUGAGAACGCAUUUAGUAGAAAGAAACAGGAAGAAGAAUGUUGAGGGCACUGCUGCUGCUGGAUGUGUCGCUGGAUGUGUCCAUGGAUAUCCAAGCUUCUGCAAUUCGUUGUGAUGCCGUGGGGACAAUGUUCUUGCAUUUUUGGAGUUGAUUGAGCUUUAAUGCUGUCAAGUUCGAGUGUUGGGCCUUGUCCGAGUGAACCUAGAACAUGGUACUUGUCCCUCCUAGCUACCGGUACUGGUCCUCCAGAUGAAUGCAGAUUUCGUGCCAAACUCUGUCUCCGUGUUUCAAGUUUCGUGACAAACUCAGGCGUAGGUCGCGGCCAUGCUAUCAAGUUAGAGGUCUAUCAGAUCGGUUACAGAUUCUUAAAGUUCCUUCUUUCGACAUGCUCCGAACGUGAGACACUAAAAACUAGAGAUACACUGAGCUUACAAAUGCUUGGUGGACUUGAUUUGGACUAGUGUAGGGUGUUCCGCAAGUAGUUUUGUUGCACAAAUUUCAAAAUUAUCAAUAUGUCUGAGCAUUACCUACAAAAGUCGAGUUCAGUAUCACUUUUCAGCACAGAUCUUACAAACACAGAAGUAUAUGAUUCAAUGUAAAGAUAUGGAUUUCACGUGAAAGAUUUUUCAAUGAAAGUAUUAUGAAGUGGACUUUACGCA